rnacentral:misc_RNA from 1 species
GAUGAAGAACGUAGCGAAAUGCGAUACUUGGUGUGAAUAGCAGAAUCCCGUGAACCAUCGAGUCUUUGAACGCAAGUUGCGCCCGAAGCCAUUAGGCCGAGGGCACGCCUGCCUGGGCGUCACACGUCGUUGCCCCCCCAUCUACUCCUUCGGGAUUGCGGGGGGCGGAUGAUGGCCUCCCGUGCGCCUCGUCGCGCGGUUGGCAUAAAUGCCAAGUCCUCGGCGACGCACGCCACGACAAUCGGUGGUUGCGAAACCUCGGUUGCCCGUCGUGUGCGGUCGUCGCGCAUCGAGGGCUCGAAAAAAUUGCCGGGCUCCGGCUCGGCUUUCAACGCGACCCCAGGUCAGGCGGGGUUACCCGCUGAAUUUAAGCAUAUCAAUAAGCGGAGGA